rnacentral:lncRNA from 1 species
GCCUGAAUAAAAGGCCGCACACGUGUGUCGGGUUUUCUUGGGUGCGAUAGAGGACCUGCCCUUCAGCAGCGGUGGCGCCCUGCUAGGGUCGUUUGUUUCUUUCUGCUGUGAGUUAGUUUAGCGUGAGAUUGCAGAUGUUACCAUCGGCUGGAAUUAUUUCGUCUGCGCUGGAGAACCAGGACAUCAGAGGAAGAAAAUCAGCAGACAGAAAAAUACUGGGGAAAAAAAAAUGCCACGUGGUUCUGUUCAGCUGAGCUUCUGCUCCCUCCAGCACCCCCACAUGGGACAUUUGUUUACCCCCCACGAUGCUGCUCUUGGAGAGUCCCAGGGGACAGGUUUCAAGCCCUUAGGGAUGCAGCCUGUCUAACUUAAUAUGCACAGCCGUUCACAUCCAGGGCACAGAGGCAGCCUGGCUUUCCCUGGAGGCCCACGGGGACCACAAUGCUGCAUUUGUCUGUGGAACUGAGAUUUAGCUGCACAUUCUUGCCUGAAUGCAGCGGGCCUCCAGCCACAGCCUGCUGGCAUGGGGGAUUCCAGGAGGGAUGUGCUUCAUGAGCCGGCAAUUGCCCUUCUUUCCAGUCCCCAGACCCAGUCAAGAUUACAGAUAGAUGCGUUCAUCGCGCGCAGGUGCUGGGGAAGCCAGUGGGACAUCACUGGCUACAUUCACCAACAGGAUUUUCCAACUGCAGUAUUUAUCGGUUUUUCAAACGAAUUCAACAUCUGUAUUCCUCACCCAUUUACUGAGUGGCUACAAUGUGUAAGGAAAUAUUCUCAGUCAUGGGGAGUUAGAAAAGGUCAAAGGCAUAUAAGAUAUGGCAUGUGCUCUGAGAGAACUCAUCAUCUAUCCAGAACCUACUCAUCACUUUUGGAAAGAGAAGAGAAACUAGCAUUCUAUGGAGUACUUACCAUGUGCCAGAUUUGGUGUGAGACAUAGUACGAGUGUUACUCAUUUACGUCUCAUGGCCAACCUCCAAUGUGGACAUUUAGCAUCUCCAUCUUACAAGUGAGAAAUUUCACUGUAGAGAGGUUAAAUAUCAUGUGUCAUUGAUUCUGUGACAUGUAUUAUUUUCACAUUUGAACAUCUGAAAUAUAGAUAUGUCUAAAAGGGCUUUUCUUUCUUGGUAGUAAGAUAACUGUAGGUCUUUGCAGUAGUGUCUUAGAUUAUGUGAAAUAUGGUAUUUUGGCAAGUGUACAUGGCUAAGAACAAGUGGAAUCAGAAUUCAACUUAAGUUUGCUUGACUCCAAAGCUUAUGUGUUUUCCAGUAUAAUGUGCUGCAGUAUCAAUGGUCUGUAUGAACAAAGGCCAUAUCAUUUUUAUUGACAAAGUAUAGAAACGGGGAAAUGGUGACUGAACUGGAACUUGCAUCAUCUAAUUCCAUAACUGAGGAGACAAUAGCCUGGGGACUGCAUGUAUCCCACAGGAUGUUAAAAAAUUGAGAAAAUGUUAUUUCAUGAUCUUCACUUCUCUGUUGAUUAUAACUUAUUUUUGAAGAGGCUAAAAUAAAUGGCAAACUCUUGUAUGGAUAAGA